rnacentral:rRNA from 1 species
CAGAGGGUGCGAGCGUUAAUCGGAAUUACUGGGCGUAAAGCGUGCGUAGACGGCUAUCUAAGUCGGGUGUGAAAGCCCCGGGCUCGACCUGGGAAUUGCAUUCGAGACUGAAUAGCUAGGGUACGGUAGAGGGAAGUGGAAUUUCCGGUGUAGCGGUGAAAUGCGUAGAUAUCGGAAGGAACAUCAGUGGCGAAAGCGACUUCCUGGACCAGUACCGACGUUCAGGCACGAAAGCGUGGGGAGCAAACAGGAUUAGAUACCCUGGUAGUCCACGCCAUAAACGAUGAGGACUAGACGUUGGAAGGGUAAGCCUUUCAGUGUCGUAGCUAACGCGCUAAGUCCUCCGCCUGGGGAGUACGGCCGCAAGGUUG